rnacentral:tRNA from 1 species
CGUUAUGUGGUUACACCUGAUUUGUAAUCAGGGGGUCACGAGUUCGAACCUUGUCGGGGGCACCA